GUCUAUGGCCAUACCACCCUGAACGCGCCGAUCUCGUCUGACCUCGGAAGCUAAGCAGGGUUGGGUCUGGUUAGUACUUGGAUGGGAGAAGUAUUUAUAUCAAUAAAGU
rnacentral:rRNA from 1 species